UGGCUACCGAUCUCUUUUGUUUGCACUUUUUUGUCUGAAGAUUUAUCCUUCGCUGCUGCCUUUUUCGGCUUCGCUUCCACUUUUGCAGGAGGUUUCGCUGACAACCGCACAGAUCUCCUCUUGGGCUCUUCCUUGGCGGCCCCUUCGGAGGAACUGACCUUCCUUUUGGGCAUCCUGGCAGCUGGGAGGCGCGUGCCGGGUGCGUGUGGGCCGCGGCGCGCCGAAAGCCUUUGCGAAGCUGCGCUGCCUAUCCGCUGCCACUCCUCUGAAGUCCCAUCUUAUCCCAUCAGCUUUUCCCCACUUUGUCAAAAUAAAGAAAAACUUCAUUGGAUGGAGGGUUUGACUGCACUGUUCUCCGGUACUGCCCCCUUAUUACUGCCUGGACACUAGACAGCAUUUAGAGCUGGCCCUAGUUUAUUCACUCCUUUCAGAUGGAUUCACCCCUUGUAGCUCUAAGAGGCAAGAGUAAGGGUUUAGUAUAAGCAAUUGGACUCAGUCCUGCUCCUCAGGCCCGGAAAGUACGUAUAUCCAAUUGAAUUUUUAGGGUACUAGUUUUCUAUUGCUGUUAUAAAAAAAAUUAUUAUAAACUCAGCAGCUUAAAAUAACACAAAUUUAUUCUCCUAUACUUUGGAGACCAGAAGUCAACAUGCGUUUUAAGAAGCUAAAAUCAAGAUGUUGGCAAGGCUAGUUCUUUCCAAAGGCUCCAGGAGCACAUCUGUUCCCUUGCCUCUUCUAGCUUCUAACAGCUGCAGCACUCUGUAACCCCUGGCAGCAUCACUUCAGUAUCUACUCUCAUGAUCACACAGGCUUCUCCUAUCUUUGACCUUCUUGCCUCCCACUUAUAAGGGUCAUCAGGGUUACUGUCAAGGUUCACAGAAUGAUGUAGGAUAACUCCAUCUUAUGGCUCUUUCAUUAUUAGUAUACUUUAAGUUCUGGGAUAAAUGUGCAGAACGUGCAAGUUUGUUACAUAGGUAUACAUGUGCCAUGGUAGUUUGCUGCAGUCAUCAACCCGUCAUCUACAUUAGGUAUUUCUCUUAAUGUUACCCCUCCCCUAGACCCCAAC
rnacentral:lncRNA from 1 species